UCGACCAGGGUUCGAUUCGAGCGUUAGCGAGAAAGCGUUGCCGCAGGCAACGACCCGAAGGGCGAAGCGCGCAGCGCUGAGUAAUCCUUCCCCCACCACCA
rnacentral:sRNA from 1 species